rnacentral:rRNA from 1 species
CGCGAACGCUGGCGGCAGGCAUAACACAUACAAGUCGAACGAAGCCUUCGGGCUGAGUCGCGGACGGGUGAGUAACGCGGGGGGACGUACCUCUUGGUGCGGAAUUACGCCGAGAAAUGCGCGCUUAUACCGAAUGCGCCCUGCGGGGGAAAUAUUUAUCGCAGAAAGAUCGGCCCGCGUUGGAUUAGGUAGUGGGUGUGGUAAAGGCGCACCAAGCCUACGAUCCAUAGCUGGUCUGAGAGGAUGAUCAGCCACACUGGGACUGAGACACGGCCCAGACUCCUACGGGAGGCAGCAGUGGGGAAUCUUGCGCAAUGGGCGAAAGCCUGACGCAGCCAUGCCGCGUGAAUGAUGAAGGUCUUAGGAUUGUAAAAUUCUUUUACCAGGGACGAUAAUGACGGUACCUGGAGAAAAAGCCCCGGCUAACUUCGUGCCAGCAGCCGCGGUAACAC